rnacentral:rRNA from 1 species
GUAGGGAAUAUUAGAAAUGGACGAAAGUCUGAUCUAGCAACACCGCGUGUGCGAAGAAGGCCUUCGGGUCGUAAAGCACUUUUUGGAAGGAAUAGGAAGGAAUGUACUUCCAGAAUAAGUCUCGGCUAACUACGUGCCAGCAGCCGCGGUAACACGUAGGAGGCAAACGUUAUCCGGAUUUACUGGGCGUAAAGCGCGUGUAGGUGGUACUGUAAGUAGGGCGUGAAAGCUCCUGGCUCAACUGGGAGAGGCCGUUCUAAACUACAGAACUAGAGGAUGGUAGAGGGAGGUGGAAUUCCAGGUGUAGCGGUGGAAUGCGCAGAUAUCUGGAGGAACACCGGUGGCGAAGGCGGCCUCCUGGACCAUUCCUGACACUCAGACGCGAAAGCUAGGGUAGCAAACGGGAUUAGAUACCCGAGUAGUCC